CACCAUUAAGACACCAUUAAGAGAAGAAAGUGCUGGAAUGAUUUGAGGUGUGAAUUUGAUGGAGGUGAAGACGAGAGUGAGAGGAACUCAGUGUAACUGCCCACCUGUUUUAGCCCAUGUUGAACAGACAUCAAAGAAGAUACAAGAGGGUUGAGGUCCAGUCAAUCUGCUGAACAGAGUGUUGCAGUGACGAUUGCCUCACAUUUGAAGCAUCCAGGCAGCCUCAGGAGUGUGCCAGUCUGUGGCUGAGGUCGAUGAGUCCCCAGUCCCCUUGAGUCCCACGGGCUGAGAACUUCACAUCUGGAGACUGGUGCCUCUCUUCAACCUCCAGAUUGAUGACAAGGCAUCCCCUAUUGAAGGCUUCUACACCUAGACACUGGCAGAUAUUACAGUCAAUGUGUACAGAACAUGAACUUGGCAAACACGAGAGCAAGAGGAAUCCAGAGAUUAAAAAUGACACUGGACACACCUUGGGGCUCUGGAACAUCCUGGCUGGACUGCUGUUUCUGUGGUCACUCUGUGUCCAGACAAAGGCAUCUGCUGGCUUUUCUACUUCUAAGGGAGAAGAGCUUCAUACAGAAAUUCUCAACCGUUCUCAAGAUAUGUCCAUCAUGA